GGACUCCAUAAUAGAGCUCUGAAGACAGCUCCAACCAGAGUUCCAGACCUCGUCUGUGAGCCCUGGCCCCCACUAUGCCACCAUCCAGAGUAAAAAACUCGACCCAAGGUUUCCCGCCACAUCAGAGAAGGGAGGUGCCUCGACUCUCUUCCCCAAUGCCCUCUAGGAAGAGAGGCAGGACACCCUGUUGUUGGUUUCUCUGGUGUCAGACACCAGCAGACACCGUCGUAUGCAUCACACAUGGGGGAAAAGUCUGGGGAGGAGAAUGGGAGAUUCCUAUGAGCACACAUGGAUGAAGAGAUUCUGUCCCACCGUACCUCCUGAGACUGGGUCUGAGAGUCACCACCCUAGACCCAGACAUGCCAGGACCCACUGCCCCAUGCUCUCCCCUCUCCCUGCCCAGGCUCUCGGGCUCCCUCUCCAAUGCUAUCAUAAACAUAGCAGAAGAGCUUGGAGGGAGAGGGAUGCCCCAUUCUGGGGCCUUGUAAAGCUGCUACAUCCCAUGUCUGGAAGCAAGCAUGGCUGCCCUGCCCUCUCAUUCCCCCACACCCCCUUCCAGCCCAUCUGCAUACUCAUGCUCCCACCCUAACUCUCUAGGCUCAAACUGCUCCUUGUAAGGCCUGCAUCAUAGGACCCACACCAGCCUCACCUCCCUAGGGCAAGCGGUUCCUCCCCCCUUGAAUAAAAGAACUAGCCUCUCUCUGCUGGGAAAGACAAAGACACUUGGCAUCUCAGGGGGCCUCAGCCACAGUGCUUGUCC
rnacentral:lncRNA from 1 species